CCCUUAGAUGUCCUGGGCCGCACGCGCGCUACACUGAGUGUCUGAGAUACGAGUCUGCCUGGUCCGGCAAGGUCUAGGUAAUCGCUAAAAGACACAUCAUGCUUGGGAUAGAUUAUUGCAAAUUUUAAUCUUGAACGAGGAAUUCCUAGUAAGCGCAAGUCAACAGCUUGCGUUGAUUACGUCCCUGCCCUUUGUACACACCGCCCGUCGCUACUACUGAUUGGAUGUUUAAGCGAGGUUCUCGAACUGCUAGCGACUUAGCUUCGGUGAGGUCGCAGUGUGGGAAGUGAACCUAGCUUUGGUGUCUAGAGGAAGUAAAAGUCGUAACA
rnacentral:rRNA from 1 species